CGCAGGGUGGAGCAGAUAGUAGCUCAUUGGUCUCUUUAGCCAAAGGUCGAUGGUGCAAGUCCAUCCCCUGCAACCA
rnacentral:tRNA from 1 species